rnacentral:rRNA from 1 species
UGAGGAAUAUUGGACAAUGGGUGAGAGCCUGAUCCAGCCAUCCCGCGUGAAGGAUGACGGUCCUAUGGAUUGUAAACUUCUUUUGUACAGGGAUAAACCUACUCUCGUGAGGGUAGCUGAAGGUACUGUACGAAUAAGCACCGGCUAACUCCGUGCCAGCAGCCGCGGUAAUACGGAGGGUGCAAGCGUUAUCCGGAUUUAUUGGGUUUAAAGGGUCCGUAGGCGGAUUUGUAAGUCAGUGGUGAAAUCUCAUAGCUUAACUAUGAAACUGCCAUUGAUACUGCAGGUCUUGAGUAAAUUUGAAGUGGCUGGAAUAAGUAGUGUAGCGGUGAAAUGCAUAGAUAUUACUUAGAACACCAAUUGCGAAGGCAGGUCACUAAGAUUUAACUGACGCUGAUGGACGAAAGCGUG